AGGCCUUGUGGUGUUACACGUGAGGUUGCAAACCUCAAGAAGCAGAAUAAUAUUCUGCCGGGGCU
rnacentral:tRNA from 1 species